ensembl:lncRNA
GUGGAUAAUAAGGAAUAAAGAGUGAAUAACAGAAAUAAAGAGUGAAUAAAGACCAAAUAAGGAGUGAAUAAGGAGUGAAUAACAAUAAGGAGUGAAUAAGGAGUGAAUAACAAUAAGGAGUGAAUAAAGAGCAAAUAAGGAUUGAAUAAAGAGUGAAUACGGAGUGAAUAACAAUAAAGAGUGAAUAAGGAGUGAAUAACAAUAAGGAGUGAAUAAGAGUGAAUAAGUAGUGAAUAAUGAGUGAAUAACAAUAAGGAGUGAAUAAAGAGUGAAUAAGUAGUGAAUAAUGAGUGAAUAACAAUAAGGAGUGAAUAACAAUAAAGAGUGAAUAAGGAGUGAAUAACAAUAAGGAGUGAAUAUCAAUAAAGAGUGAAUAAGGAGUGAAUAACAAUAAAGAGUGAAUAAAGAGCAAAUAAGGAUUGAAUAAAGAGUGAAUACGGAGUGAAUAACAAUAAGGAGUGAAUAAAGAGUGAAUAAGUAGUGAAUAAGGAGUGAAUAACAAUAAGGAGUGAAUAAGGAGUGAAUAAGGAGUGAAUAACAAUAAGGAGUGAAUAAGGAGUGAAUAAGGAGUGAAUAACAAUAAAGAUAAAGAGUGAAUAAGGAGUGAAUAAGAAUACGGAGUGAAUAAGUACUGAAUAAGGAGUGAAUAACAAUAAAGAGUGA